GACGAACGCUGGCGGCGUGCUUAACACAUGCAAGUCGAACGGAAAGGCCCUGCUUUUGUGGGGUGCUCGAGUGGCGAACGGGUGAGUAACACGUGAGUAACCUGCCCUUGACUUUGGGAUAACUUCAGGAAACUGGGGCUAAUACCGGAUAGGAGCUCCUGCUGCAUGGUGGGGGUUGGAAAGUUUCGGCGGUUGGGGAUGGACUCGCGGCUUAUCAGCUUGUUGGUGGGGUAGUGGCUUACCAAGGCUUUGACGGGUAGCCGGCCUGAGAGGGUGACCGGCCACAUUGGGACUGAGAUACGGCCCAGACCCCUACGGGAGGCAGCAGUGGGGAAUAUUGCACAAUGGGCGGAAGCCUGAUGCAGCAACGCCGCGUGCGGGAUGACGGCCUUCGGUUUGUAAACCGCUUUCGCCUGUGACGAAGCGUGAGUGACGGUAAUGGGUAAAGAAGCACCGGCUAACUACGUG
rnacentral:rRNA from 1 species